UACAGCGUGUCUCAUCUUUUAUGUACUACUAGCACUAAAUAUCUCACUCAAAUGACCUUAGAUUGAAAUGAAGAUUUUAGAGGUGAUGUGGAGUAUUAAAAUACAUCAUUUGGGAUAAUUUUCAAUUUUUUUUAAUCCUGUCAAUGCAUGUAAUUGCAAUUGAAAUGAACAGCCUUAUUUUUGUCACCUGAUGGCAGAUAUGAAUAGAUCAUUUUUAUCCAUUG